rnacentral:tRNA from 1 species
ACUUUUUUAUCUCAGUAGUAGAGUGCUUGUCUCAUAUGCAUGAGGUCCUGGGGUUCAAUCCCCAGUACAAGAA